rnacentral:rRNA from 1 species
AGGACGAACGCUGGCGGCGUGCUUAACACAUGCAAGUCGAGCGGUGAUCCUCCUUCGGGAGGUGAGCAGCGGCGAACGGGUGAGUAACACGUGGGCAACCUGCCCCUCACACUGGGAUAACCUCGGGAAACCGGGGCUAAUACCGGAUAUGACCUCGAGCGGCAUCUCUUGAGGUGGAAAGCUCCGACGGUGAGGGAUGGGCCCGCGGCCUAUCAGCUUGUUGGUGGGGUAAUGGCCUACCAAGGCGACGACGGGUAGCCGGCCUGAGAGGGCGACCGGCCACACUGGGACUGAGACACGGCCCAGACUCCUACGGGAGGCAGCAGUGGGGAAUAUUGCGCAAUGGGCGAAAGCCUGACGCAGCGACGCCGCGUGAGGGAUGAAGGCCUUCGGGUUGUAAACCUCUUUCAGCAGGGACGAAGCGAAAGUGACGGUACCUGCAGAAGAAGCACCGGCUAACGUACGCGCCAGCAGCCGCGGUAA